GACGAACGCUGGCGGCGUGCUUAACACAUGCAAGUCGAACGAAGUGGCGAACGGGUGAGUAACGCGUAUUCAACCUGCCCUUCAGAGGGGGACAACAGUUGGAAACGACUGCUAAUACCGCAUACUGACGUAGGGGAUUGCGUUUGCUUCGCUAGCUGGAGGGGUAACGGCCCACCAAGGCGAUGAUCAGUAGCCGGUCUGGAGGGAUGAACGGCCACAAUGGGAAUGAGACACGGCCCAGACUCCUACGGGAGGCAGCAGUGGGGAAUCUUCCGAAAUGGACGAAAGUCUGACGGAGCAACGCCGCGUGAGUGAUGACGGCCUUCGGGUUGUAAAGCUCUGUUAAUCGGGACGCGGUACCGGAAUAGAAAGCCACGGCUAACUACGUGCCAGCCGCCGCGGUAAUUC
rnacentral:rRNA from 1 species